CUGCGUGAAGUUGGAAUCGCUAGUAAUCGCGGAUCAGCAUGCCGCGGUGAAUACGUUCCCGGGCCUUGUACACACCGCCCGUCACACCAUGAGAGUCGGGAACACCCGAAGUCCGUAGCCUAACCGCAAGGGGGGCGCGGCCGAAGGUGGGUUCGAUAAUUGGGGUGAAGUCGUAACAAGGUAGC
rnacentral:rRNA from 1 species